GAUGAAGAACGUAGCGAAAUGCGAUAAGUAGUGUGAAUUGCAGAAUUCAGUGUAUCAUCGAAUCUUUGAACGCACAUUGCGCCCUUUGGUAUUCCUUAGGGCAUGCCUGUUCGAGCGUCAUUUAAACCUUCAAGCUCAGCUUGGUGUUGGGUGACUGUCCGCUUCACCGCGGACUCGCCUCAAAAUUAUUGGCGGCCGGUACAUUGGCUUCGAGCGCAGCAGAAACGCGAACUCGGGCCCGUCGUAUUGGCUCCCAGAAGCUAUCUUCACAAUUUUGACCUCGGAUCAGGUAGGGAUACCCGCUGAACUUAAGCAUAUCAAUAAGCGGAGGA
rnacentral:misc_RNA from 1 species